CGGCACCGGCCCCGCGCCUCACCUGUAGCAGCAGCCGCCGCAGCGCCGCCUCCUCCUCCUCCUCCGCCUCCAGCUCGGCCGAGAGCAGCGACGGGUCCGCCAUGGCCCGGGGGAGAACCCGAGAGAACCGGGAACCGCCGGGACCCCCCAAAACCCCCGGGACCCCCGGGCCGCCCUCAGCGCUCCUCCACCGCCGCCACUUCCGCUUCCGGCGGGGCCAGUCUCCAUGGUUACGAGGGGCGCUCUGGCCACUUCCGCCUCAUCUCGGUGAUUUUUGGGGCCGCUCUGGCCCGUCCUUCCCUGUCUCGGUGGUUUUUGGGGGCGCUCUGGCCCGUCCUUCCCCGUCUCGGUGGUUUUUGGGGCCGCUCUGGCCCCUCCCCGCCCGUCUCGGUGGUUGCUGGGCGGUGAUGGCGGCUCUGGCGGCCAUCGGGGCUCCCCCGGUCCCCGAAAUCUUCGCCACCAUGGAGGAGGGGCCGAGCCCCGGCGGGACCAGCCCGGGAGAGGCUGGCCGCUGUGCUGUCUGGUGACCCCGGUGCCACCCUGGCGUCGCUGCUGUCCCUGCUGGGGGCGCGGCCGCUCUGCCGGACCCUGGGGGCGGAUCUGGAGCUGGGGCUGCGGCUGCUGCGGGGACACGGCGGGGACACGGGGGACACGGGGGACACGCGGGGCUGGAGGCCACUGGGGGUGGUGGCCGUGGUGCUGCUGGGUCCCUGCUCGCUGCCAGCGCUGCUCAGCAAACUGGGGCCACUGCUGGCCAUGGGUAACACGGCCGUGGUGCUGAGCCCCCCGCCCACGGCGCCGCCGCUGCUGCUGCUGGGGGCGCUGGCUGGGGAGGGGGCUGCGCUGCCCCCCGGGGUGCUCAACGUCCUGGCGGGACCCCCGGGGCUGGCCGGGACCCUGCGCGCCCACCCCGAGGUCACGGCGGUCACCGCCCUGGGGGGCUCCCAGGUACGGGGGGCCCUGGCCCCAAUUCGGGGUCCCUGGCCCCAUUUCGGGGGUCCCUGUGCCAAAUUUGGGGUCCCUGGCCC